rnacentral:pre_miRNA from 1 species
CAAGCAUGAGGCAGGAACUGCAUUACUUGCAAGAAAGUCACAAAAUCAAUUGCAGGAUCAUACUUGUGGCUUUCUUGCAAGUUGUGCAGUUGUUGCCUCAAGCUUG